UCCCCAGACUCCUACGGGAGGCAGCAGUGGGGAAUAUUGGACAAUGGGGGAAACCCUGAUCCAGCGACGCCGCGUGAGUGAAGAAGUAUUUCGGUACGUAAAGCUCUAUCAGCAGGAAAGAAAAUGACGGUACCUGACUAAGAAGCCCCGGCUAACUACGUGCCAGCAGCCGCGGUAAUACGUAGGGGGCAAGCGUUAUCCGGAUUUACUGGGUGUAAAGGGAGCGUAGACGGCGAUGCAAGUCUGAAGUGAAAGCCCGGGGCUCAACCCCGGGACUGCUUUGGAAACUGUAUGGCUAGAGUGCUGGAGAGGCAAGCGGAAUUCCUAGUGUAGCGGUGAAAUGCGUAGAUAUUAGGAAGAACACCAGUGGCGAAGGCGGCUUGCUGGACAGUAACUGACGUUGAGGCUCGAAAGCGUGGGGAGCAAACAGGAUUAGAUACCCUGGUA
rnacentral:rRNA from 1 species